AAUUGGAGGCAAGGGGAUGAAAUAGAAAAGGCUCAUAUUUGAAUGAGAAAAUGGUCAGAGAGACUGAAAAGAUCUAACACCAAGUACUGCUUCCCACUGGUGGUUUUCUCAUUAGCACACUAUUGGAAAUAAAACUUGAAGACAAAGGCUAGCCACUAAAGUAGCAGAGAAUUUAAGUGUCUGCAGAUCAGGUGAAAAGCUCACUAGUGUUAUUGGGAGGUAAGAAUGAACACAAAGGGAGGUAAUGUCUUAAUUCAUAUAUAUAUUUCUGUGUGUAUAUAUGUGUGUGAAUACAUAUGUAAUUUAAUAUAUUAGAAAAGUGCAUGAGGAGUGUCUCUAUGAGUCUCCUUCAAUACUUAAAAUUUCUUUAAAGAAACAAAUUCAAGACCCAUUUAUUAGCUGUCCAUGUAUGGACAAAGAAGACACUCUUAGUUGCACUGAAUAAU